GCAUGGAUAGCUCAGUUUGUUAGAACAUGGUGCUGAUAAUGCCAAGGUUGCAGGUUCGAUUCCCUUAUGGGACAGCUGCA
rnacentral:tRNA from 1 species